rnacentral:misc_RNA from 1 species
GAUGAAGAACGUAGCGAAAUGCGAUAAGUAAUGUGAAUUGCAGAAUUCAGUGAAUCAUCGAAUCUUUGAACGCAUCUUGCGCUCCUUGGUAUUCUGAGGAGCAUGCCUGUUUGAGUGUCAUUAAAUUCUCAACUACACUGACUUUGAAUUGGUGUGGCUUGGAUUUGGGGGGAAAAUUGUUGUGGGCUUUUUGUAUAGUCUGCUCCCCUGAAAUUGAUUAGCUGUACCUUUGUGGAACUGUCUACAGGUGUGAUAAUUAUCUACAUCUUAGACAUCUGCUGGAAUGCUGCUUUCUAACCCUUACUUGUAUUGACAAUCUUGACCUCAAAUCAGGUAGGACUACCCGCUGAACUUAAGCAUAUCAAUAAGCGGAGGA